ensembl:lncRNA novel transcript
UUUCUUCCUGGAUCUCUGACCUUCCAUAUGGAAUCCUUUUCCUUCUGCCUAAAGAACUCCCUUUAUCUCCUGGAGUGUUGAUCUAUCUGCUGGUGCCGAACUGCUGGAACCAAGGAGGUCCUCAGAUCUGGCCACAUGAGAAAGCAGCAAGGUGCAGGAAAACAGCCACAGACAUUACAGUCCACCAGACCAGGGUCCGCGACCAUUUGUGCCUGUCACUCACUCAUGGCUUCGGCCAAAUCAUUUCAGUGUCUUCAUAUAUAAAAUGGAACUGGUGAUGCCUGACAUGCUCCUCAGGUGCCCAACCAGGAGGCCCUAAGACAACAUUUCUCUAAGCUUCAAGCAAGAUCUUGACACAGACAUGGACUGCCAUGCAUUACUGGGAAUGAUGACCACAUCAAAGGUGCAAGGAUGUGGAUUAAGUGUCAGCUGUAGCUCUCAUUCAGGCUUCACAGCCACCGUGUGGGGCAGGUGGGACCACACCUGGCAGGUUUCACAUGGGAACUCCGAGAGCAUAUUAGGUUAUGGGCACCAUUAGAACUGAAAGGAUUAUUUUCAAGU